AUUGACCGCUGGCGGCAGGCCUAACACAUGCAAGUCGAACGAGUGGCGGACGGGUGAGUAAUGUCUGGGAAACUGCCUGAUGGAGGGGGAUAACUACUGGAAACGGUAGCUCAUACCGCAUACCAUCAGAUGUGCCCAGAUGGGCUUAGCUUGUUGGUGGGGUAACGGCUCCCCAAGGCGACGAUCCCUAGCUGGUCUGAGAGGCUGACCAGCCACACUGGAACUGAGACACGGUCCAGACGCCUACGGGCGGCAGCAGUGGGGAAUAUUGCACAAGGGGCGCAAGCCUGAUGCAGCCAUGCCGCGUGGAUGAAGAAGGCCUUCGGGUUGGAAAGUACUUUCAGCGGGGAGGCGUUACCCGCAGAAGAAGCACCGGAUAACUCAGUGCCAGCAGCCGCGGUAAUUC
rnacentral:rRNA from 1 species